rnacentral:misc_RNA from 1 species
UAAUAAGUGGUUUUAUGGCACUUUUAAAUCCAUAUCCACCUUGUGUGCAAUGUCAGUCGAUCUUCUUCAUGGAGAUCGACCAAACAUCAACCUUUAUUUUUAACUCUUUGUCUGAAAAAUAUUAUGAAUAAACAACUUCAAAAUA